AAGUAUAAUUAUUUCACUGCUGUUAGUGAUAAUGGGUUUUUAAUGAAUCCAAACAAAGUCUAUAGCAUAACAUUUACGUCUUUGACUGAUGUCACUGCUGAAGAUGCUACCAAGAACAUACAAAGUCACUGGUUGACACAUACAAUUGAUUGACUAAAAUAGAACUCACCGUCACAUUUUAGAUGCUUCCUGCUAUACGGUAACUCUAUUUGCCAUGCAU